rnacentral:piRNA from 1 species
UGAAAUGAACCUGUGAUUUACAGUAACUGC